rnacentral:lncRNA from 1 species
UCUUUAGAAAAUUUAAUAAUAUGUUAUCAAUAUAAUAGCAUUACGUUUAUAGGUUAUGUUAUGAAUAAUAAUAAUGUAAGUGUAAAGUACAUACUACAUUUUUUGCAUUUUGCAACAGAAACAGCUUCUUAUGGAGUAUUAUUUCACAGGCUACUAUUUUUUCAUGUAAUGUAUUAAAAUGUAAUUAUAAUUGCGAUUGGGAUAAUGCAAAAAUAUACUUUUUGGUUAGUGAUAUCUAUUAUAUUGUGACAGAAUUUGGUUUCUCAAUAAUUCUCAUCGUGAGUGCCAAACUGAUCAAUUGCAUCCUAAUGGAACGUUCAAGAUGUGAUUCAGUAACUGAUACGGUAGUUGCAAUCAUUAUUUUUGACCAAAUGAUUACGAAUAAGCGCAGCUAUAUCUGGAGAGGUAAUGCACCUACUGAUAUCCCGUGAUAAGAACUUGGGAGAGAUUUAGUGAAAACCUGGAGAACGGCCACUUAGCUCACAAAUCUGAGCUGUUCACAUCAAGCUGAUAUUUGUGACAGCCAUUAUAGCUUUAAUCAUUUUCUCGAUUGAUCAAAGCACAACAGGCUGCAUCGUUCGUCACCUCUGCCUUCAAGCGCGUUAUGACUUACUCCAAUAAGCCAACCAAAUAUCCUUAAUAAGCAAUAGAAGUUCUUAUCGACUGUGUAUGACUCAUUAAUAUCCAUGUUUUGUAUAAAUUUAUGUGAUAGACCUACUGAUAUUAAUGUUGAUGUACCGUAAUGUUUUUUGCUCAUGUAUAAUAUUGAUAAUAAUACAUUAAAAAUAAAUAAAAAGUUAAAUUAUUA